CAAACGGCUAAAGCACAAACAACAAAAAUAAACCUCGACUCAUUGGGUCUCCCCACCCGCUUCAAACGCUGAACCCAAGGCAGAGAGCGGACCCUAGUUUUGGCGGUAAUGCCAAACACCCAGAAAGGCCAAGUAGCUUAGAGACUACUACUGAGGGGUUUAAGCAAUGGGAGGAGAAGAAGAGCGACAAGAGCAGCAACACCUAUAUACGGAAAUUACGGAAAACCCAAGCCAGCAGCAAGAAGAAGAGUUUAUUCAUCAUGGCCGGCGAUUCGGUUCGAUGUUCCUCCACAGAGAACCUACCACUUCUCCCACCAGUUCAGAACUCCCUCAAACCCUAACAAUUUUCUCAAGGCCGUCAAAGGAAGAAGAGUCAUGGAGAUGAGAUUAAAUUUUCUUUAUUUUUUUUUUUUUCACGAAUAUUUUCUCUUUCUUGAUUUUCCAUUCAAUUGACCAUAGUUAACUUUAGUUAUAGUGCAUUACAGGUGCUGUGUUUAACUCUCCCAGUAGGUGGAGCAUCUGACAAGUAACAAGACGGAUGCUACUGAGAGGGAUGAAACAGAGAUACAAAUAUGUGAUUCAAAGGGAGAGUUGGAUUGUUCUUCCACAGAAAGCAGCAGGGUUGAAACAGAGGUACAGAGAGAUGAGGAGAUCACCAUCAUCACCUGAAACUGCAAAGCUUAAAGACUGCUACUGUAAAUAUAUAUAUAUAUAUAUAUGAUUCAGAGAGGGAGUUGGAUUGUUUUUCCACAGAAAGCAGCUGCAGGUCUUAGGAGACAUGGCAAUGAGUUACAGAUUAAAUGAUGCCUCAACUAUCUCACUUUCUUUUCCUAAGAAAAUGUUGCAACAACACCCUUUUAGCAGGUCAGACCUCAAAGUAGCAGUGGAUCAGCGGAACAUGACACUCAUGUAGUCUUGAUGCUAUGCAAAACUCCGCAAUGCAGAAGUAUGGAGAUUAAUCAUUGAUCAGAUGAGGUACCACAUAGCGUAAUUAAGCUAGAUAUGAUGUAACAGUUAAAGGCUUCAGUUUUCACUUGCAAGGAGUUGGAUGAUGUUGACGAUGUUGAUAAUGAUUGUGGUGAUGAUGAGCAAGAUGAUGAUAAGAAAGAUGAGGCUGACAAUGUUGAUGAUGAUGGGCAUCAGGAUCUAUGAUGCUGAAAGGAAAUGAUUUCAAGAAAGGCAGCUGAAAGGAUGAUUUGCCAAUCACAUCCACCUCUACUGUCAUCAAAGAAUUUAUGCAAGUUUCCUCAACGGUUAGGAGAAGAUGAAAAAUGCCUUCGAUAUGUGGAGAACUCGUUGAAAAGGUUUCUUCGUUUUCUCAGCAGAGCUAGCAGAGAAAGAGACAUACAGAGAGCGAUGGCUAGGAGAGCGCCAUGGUCACCUGAAGAUGCACAGCUUAAGAGUAUUGUAUUUAGAAAUAUGGGACUGGUCAUAGAGAAUUAGAGAUGUGGCAAGAGUCGCAGAACAAGAUUGCUCAACUGUCUCAGCAGGCGGAAUGGAUGAUUAUCAAGCAGUGUACGUCAUCAAUCAAAGUUGUAUCAUCUGUUUUGGCAUCCAUUCGACUGAUUGUUUCCAUCAGAUGGGAUUUUCAUGGCAUGAAAGCGAGGGAAGAGUGAAUGGGAUCCAAAGCCUCAAUUAACUUCAGUUUCAGGCUUUGACCAAGUCAACCCAAAGACCAUGAGGGAUAAAAGACACUUUACCAAUAGAACCAUGGCAAAUUGGUGGUCCAGUCAUUAAGGGAUUUGGUCGGGGCUCAAAAGUACUUGGGAUCCCUACAGGAGCCAUGGCUGCUUCAUGACUUUGAUGCGGACUUCUAUGGGGAGG